CCCGCAACGAGCGCAACCCUUGAUCUUAGUUGCCAGCAUUUAGUUGGGCACUCUAAGGUGACUGCCGGUGACAAACCGGAGGAAGGUGGGGAUGACGUCAAAUCAUCAUGCCCCUUAUGACCUGGGCUACACACGUGCUACAAUGGACAGAACAAAGGGCUGCGAGACCGCAAGGUUUAGCCAAUCCCACAAAUCUGUUCUCAGUUCGGAUCGCAGUCUGCAACUCGACUGCGUGAAGCUGGAAUCGCUAGUAAUCGCGGAUCAGCAUGCCGCGGUGAAUACGU
rnacentral:rRNA from 1 species